CAUAGGAAAAUAGAGACAAUUGGAGAAAUUUUCUGUGUCCAUUUCAUUGUAAGACCAUGCCUAUAUAUAUACAAGAAUAGUGAAACAAAUAAUGAAAUAAUCCUAUACAUUUGUCUAUUUUCUAUUUGUUCCUCUAUAACAAACUGUCUUUUGUAAUGUACUACCUAGGAUAGAAUAUUCCCAUCACAAUCUAAAUGUGCUUGAUCAUCAAGAAAGUUUUGAUAGUGUGGAUCAACUAAAUUUGUCAACUUUGGAUGAUUGAGAUUGAAAACUAUGUAAUUGGGCCACAACUCUUCUCUCUUAUUACAUCUGAUUUAUCCAAUUGGACUAUGUCCUUCUUUGGGCCACCCUGUACAAACAUUUUGGGCCUCAUCUGUGUGUUCAAUUCUUUGUAGUGUAAGACCCAAUAUUCUUAUCUCUUUCAGUCGAUACAUACGAGGACAUAGUCUUCUCAUUCUUCAUAUCAUCAAAAUCAAAAUGUUGAUCUUCUUCGUCUUUGUGAGGUUUGUGAGGAAUAUGAGUGUCAACAAUAUGUCUAGGGACCAUAAGCCUGACCUUCAACCUGAAAAGGGAAGAAGGAUUACAAAUACUGGUGGAUAUGUCCGGUUUGGACAGGUCAAUGGGAGUUUAAACAUGGCAAGAGCAAUCGGAGACAUGAAGCUGAAACAAGAACAAAUGAUUGCCUGCUGGAAAACAAAGAGUGAAUGCUAAUCCUGAUAUCCCCGCUGUUGAGCUUUCCAAUGAUGAUGAUUUCCUUGUUCUAGCUUGUGAUGGCAUAUGGUAAGAAUAUUGUACCAUUUUAAUUUUAUCUUCCCAGCUUUGUCACUGAAUUUGAAUCAAUAUUCAAUGAUUUUUACGGGAAUACCAGCUUAUGUUUCUUCAAGAGUCAUUAGAUUGCUAGACUUAGAGUACUUGAAUUUGCAUACUGUUUGCUAGCAGGUUGACAAAAUUCACAUGGAAAAAAUUUGGUAUUGAUUUUUGUGGGUCUUUUUGAAAGAAUGGUUGCUCUGCACAUUGUUUCCAUACCAAUGCAACUUAUCACAAAACAAAGGAAAAAAUGAUGGAGUCAAUUAGAGAGAGGUCGAACUUGCAUCUUUUUAGUGUAGUUAGGAAUUCUCUGCGACAAGGUUAUUUUCUUGUACUUAGUACUUAAGUUUACAUUAGAUGUGAGUACAUUUCCAGAGGUCUGGAAGUUGAUGGCUAUGGAAUAGUAUUGAAAGGGAGUUUUGGAUUAAAUUGGGUCUUGCUUAAUUGAAUGCCAAUAAUCUUGAAAUUAUAAAAAUUAGGUGAAGUCUGAGUAACCUAACCCUCGUAGGAAUUGAAACCAUGAAAAGUGUAGGUGUGAGGUGUUUGAAUGGAAAUCGAAGCAAAAAUUAUGUAGAGAAAGCUAACUGUGAUCGACUAAGAAAAACAACCUAAGAUACGGAUCGUAUUUCCUUAUAUGGCCAUAUCCUGGGUCGUAAGUUGGUGGGUUAAAAUAAAGGAGUCACUGCCUUAGAAAUAUAUGCUUAAAUACGGAUCGUAUAAAAUUAUACGACCCUAUCUCUGAACGUAUUUCCAAGGUAGAAACUUGAGAUGUUUCUUCCUUAGACAUAUAUGCUUAAAUACGGUCCGUAUUUAUUUAUACGGACCGUAUCUCUGAUCGUAUGUCUGAAAUGGAAACAUUACGACCAACUUAUACGAACAGUACAAUUUUAUACGGCCCGUAUUGUUCUUUUAUGACCACACACACAAAAAAAAGAUUUUGUCUUUCUUUGGUGAUUGGUUCUUCAUGGCCCUGUUCCUAAUGAUACUUCUCUUAUAGGUAUGACUGUAAAGCAUUCAGUAAAGAGGGGAACCGGGCCAAGAGGCCGAGGCCGAGGUCGUGACCGAGCGGAUGUCACACAUGCCCUACAUGAUUCCCCCUCCCAAUCUGAAGAAGAGGAGGAGGUCAUGCCUUAGAAGAAGAUCUGGGAGGAGGAGGAAGGGGGGGGGGGGGGCAUAACAUCCCAACCCCAAACCAUAACACUGUCAGCUUCUAACUCUUCCUAGUCUGAAGAGGAGGAGGAAGGAUCCUCAACAUUUGCUUCGGGAGAGGCGGAAACUGAGGGUGCUGAACAAGGAAGUAGAGCGAAAAUCGAGGGAACUGAACGAGUGAGUUUUAUAUUAUUUGGUAUUACCUAUGUGGUCCGAAGGGACAUUGUUCCAAACGUGACAUUGCAAAGAUUUGAGAAUAGGAUUAUAUUGGUAGUUGAUUACGGAUGUUGUUAUGUUUAUUCGCCCUCAUGAUUAUUGUUGAUUUUGACAUUUAUGUAUGCAUUCCAUCCUACAUUUCUCAUGAUACUGUGAUGUGGUCCCAAUGGACAAAGUGAAGGAGGAAAGUCAUCUCUGGGCUGUGUGCGGAGUGACUAUGGACAUAAUUGAUAUAUUACCCAUCUCUGGGCUGUGUGCGGAAUGGCUAGUGAUAUGGAACCAUCUCUGGGUUGUGUGCAGAGUGGUUGGUGUUGUGGAGUCAUCUUUGGGCUGUGUGCGGAAUGACUGGUACAUGAACUUCGUGAGUUCUCCAUGGGUCAUGACUAUCGAGAUGUGGAGAUUUUCCUCCAUAGCGUAUGUGUACGAUAUGAGACAGUUGGCCAGUGCAUUGCAUCGCACAUGCAUUCAUAUUACAUCUACUCAUAUCUGUGAUUCUGUUUGUUGUAUUUAUUAUAUUGCCUGGUGCGUUUCAACAUGGAUUCCUUGGUUGAUUAUUGAUUUGAGUUGUCAUGUGCCUGAUUAAUACAUACUUGGGGACUUGAUGAACUCAAGGAUUAGAGACUUCCCCCUAGGCUAUGACUUGAGGUUACAGAGAUUUAUUGUGGUUCCUAUUACCGUGAGAUCGGUUGUAUGUGCUUAAUAACCAAAUUUGAUUGCUUACUUGCCUAUUUGUUGAUUUCUUUCUUUUAUAUAUGUUAGCUAAUUGUUGUCAGCCUAUGAUGCCUACCAGUACGUGUUGUUUGUACUGAUGCUACCUUGCUGCAUUCUUUUCUGAGUGCAGAGUUUGUUACAGAUUUCACUUCAGGCCCUCGCGGGUGAGUUCUCGAGGCAGUCAGUUGGAGUUUCCAGGGUGAGCCGUGUUCCGGUCCGCUGCCUGAGGACUCUUCUAUCCUAUUGUCAUUAUUUCAUAUCUUGAGACAGGCUUGUAUAGUUCAGACUUGUAUUAGCUUGUAUUAGUAGCUUUUGUACAUUUUAGACCAAAUUCCUUGGGUAGUUGUUGUAUUCCGCAUUACUA